AACGAACGCUGGCGGCAGGCCUAACACAUGCAAGUCGAGGGGAAGCCACUUUCGGGUGGUGGAGACCGGCGCACGGGUGAGUAACGCGUGGGCACCUGCCCUGGGGUGGGGGACAACCGCUGGAAACGGCGGCUAAUACCGCAUACGCCCCGUUGUCGUAGAGGCGGCGGGGGAAAGAUUUAUCGCCCUGGGAUGGGCCCGCGUUGGAUUAGCUUGUUGGUGGGGUAAAGGCCUACCAAGGCGACGAUCCAUAGCUGGUCUGAGAGGAUGAUCAGCCACACUGGGACUGAGACACGGCCCAGACUCCUACGGGAGGCAGCAGUGGGGAAUAUUGGACAAUGGGGGCAACCCUGAUCCAGCCAUGCCGCGUGCGUGAAGAAGGCUUUAGGGUUGUAAAGCGCUUUCACCGGUGACGAUGAUGACGGUAACCGGAGAAGAAGCCCCGGCUAACUCCGUG
rnacentral:rRNA from 1 species